CAAUGUUGCUUAGAGUUGUAUGGAAUGAAAGAUGUGAAUUUAUUUUUGGAUUCUAUUCAUUCAAUUUUCUCUCUUUCGUUCCAUACAUCAUCUAACCAACAAACU
rnacentral:pre_miRNA from 1 species